AACUCUGUGCCCCUUUGUCCACGGACUAGGUUUUCUUCUCAUGGAUUCAUUCUUACGCGUUUGAUUCCAGUCCCAGUUCUAAUUCUCCCUGAGAAAUCCAGAGCAAUUGCACAACACUAAGCACCAAGAGAUCUCGUUUUGAGAAGGCUGGGCUACUUCAGAGUAUCACAGAAACUCGGAAUGUUAGGACUGGAAGUGGUUACCAGACCAUCUGACCCAGCCACCUCACUCGUGGGGAAAAGAGCCCAAGGCCCGGAGCGGCUAUCUGGUCUUCGCCAGCACACCGCCCGCUGGCAGCCACCCCAAACUAGAAUCUGAAGCCCUAUCUCUGCUUAUUCUACAUCUUGCUAGAGUUCUGACGGAGGAGGUGGGGGGUUCUUCUGGGUAACACUGGACAGCAGAUAAGAAAAGAAGGAAGCUUCUGAAACACUGAAACUCCCUCCACUUGCGAGAUCAAAAGCCUGGCUGAAGUGGGUUAGAACCAAGAUGGCUGACUGGAGUUGGCAUGGAAUGAGCCCCAAUUUCCACCCUUGUUUCGUACUGACUCCCUCUGAAUUU